UCGAUUCCACGAACUGAGCUAGAGAAGACUUAAGCCAAUGGGAUUUGUCCACCCGAUUGCUUGAUCUUUGACGCCUGGAAAGGUCUUCUUCUAUGCCUGCCUCCGAGUUAUAUUCCGCAAACAUCAGUCGAGCUCACAGUCUUCAGCUUCAUGUAUGUAGAAGCAGUCUGCAGUCUUCUUGGAUUCAAACGGAAGGAAAUAGUUGACAGCUUUAG
rnacentral:lncRNA from 1 species